rnacentral:rRNA from 1 species
UGGCGGACGGGUGAGUAACGCGUGGAAAACCUGCCGUAUACUGGGGGAUAACACUUAGAAAUAGGUGCUAAUACCGCAUAAGCGCACAGCUUCGCAUGAAGCGGUGUGAAAAACUCUGGUGGUAUACGAUGGUUCCGCGUCUGAUUAGCUAGUUGGGGGGGUAAUGGCCUACCAAGGCAACGAUCAGUAGCCGGCCUGAGAGGGUGAACGGCCACAUUGGGACUGAGACACGGCCCAAACUCCUACGGGAGGCAGCAG